rnacentral:rRNA from 1 species
UACAGAGGGGGCAAGCGCUGUUCGGAAUCACUGGGCUUAAAGCGUGUGUAGGCGGGUCGUUAAGUACCUUGUGAAAUCCCACGGCUUAACUGUGGAACGGCUUGGUAUACUGGCGAUCUUGAGCCACUUAGGGGCUACCGGAACAGAUGGUGGAGCGGUGAAAUGCGUAGAUAUCAUCUGGAACGCCAAUGGUGAAAACAGGUAGCUGGGAGUGUGCUGACGCUGAGACACGAAAGCCAGGGGAGCGAACGGG